rnacentral:rRNA from 1 species
GAUGAACGCUGGCGGCGUGCCUAAUACAUGCAAGUCGAGCGAACGGACGAGAAGCUUGCUUUUCUGAUGUUAGCGGCGGACGGGUGAGUAACACGUGGAUAACCUACCUAUAAGACUGGGAUAACUUCGGGAAACCGGAGCUAAUACCGGAUAAUAUUUUGAACCGCAUGGUUUAAAAGUGAAAGACGGUCUUGCUGUCACUUAUAGAUGGAUCCGCGCUGCAUUAGCUAGUUGGUAAGGUAACGGCUUACCAAGGCAACGAUGCAUAGCCGACCUGAGGGGGUGAUCGGCCACACUGGAACUGAGACACGGUCCAGACUCCUACGGGAGGCAGCAGUAGGGAAUCUUCCGCAAUGGGCGAAAGCCUGACGGAGCAACGCCGCGUGAGUGAUGAAGGUCUUCGGAUCGUAAAACUCUGUUAUUAGGGAAGAACAUAUGUGUAAGUAACUGUGCACAUCUUGACGGUACCUAAUCAGAAAGCCACGGCUAACUACGUG